UACGUAGGGUGCAAGCGUUAUCCGGAUUUACUGGGUGUAAAGGGGGCGCAGACGGCGAUGCAAGCCAGGAGUGAAAGCCCGGGGCCCAACCCCGGGACUGCUCUUGGAACUGCGUGGCUGGAGUGCAGGAGGGGCAGGCGGAAUUCCUGGUGUAACGGUGAAAUGCGUAGAUAUCAGGAGGAACACCGGUGGCGAAGGCGGCCUGCUGGACUGCAACUGACGUUGAGGCCCGAAAGCGUGGGGAGCAAACAGG
rnacentral:rRNA from 1 species